GUUUUACCAUUUGAUGCCUUUUAGGUUUAAUAAUACCCAAGGUUUUGUUUACUUUGUCCACAUAUAUUAUAUAUGUUUGGGGGACCAAAAUAACUGUGUUGAUAUCAAUUUAAAUCUAUACCAAUUAUAGUUAUGGACUUAGAAAACACCGAACCAUCCACUCCAAAUUUGCUUGUUCACCACCUUCGCCACACCUACUCCUCCACAAUCGAAAGCCACAUGCUCAGCCUUCUUCUCCGACGAAAUGUUGUGGCGACCUCCUGAAUACCUUCCACAUAUUUACAUCUCCUCUUCCCGAACCUUCUCCCUCAUCCACUCCUCCGUCCUUAACGGACGCCAUGAAUCGUUGCUCUGUACCACAAUCCGGUUUCACGAACACAAGAUCUAGUUUCACCGGAUCUGAACCGGAAUUCCAUCGGAUUUGCUUUCCCAAUCAGGUUCCAUCAGAUCUGAAGCCGACAUCAACCGGAUUUGCUUUCCCAAUCUGGUUUCAGCAGUUAUCGCCACUGACUCCAUGGAACCUAUAAUAAUCGGUAUAGGUGGAUUUGUUUAGAAAAUCGAAUAUAGGUUGUUGCUUGAGUUGGUGAGAAUUCGAGUUAAGAUAGGUGAUAAUGGAGGAUUGCAAAAAGUGUGAAAUUUCUGGUAGAAGAAAUAAGAAUACGAUGAAUUUGAUUUACUUUUUGCUCAGGCUGUACAACCACAAAGGUUACUGUAAAGGUAUCUUCAUAUAUACUAUUUUAUUUAAAUUAAAUUCCACACUUACCCCUAUUAUUACAACUUUUAGAAGUUAGUUAUGCACAUUACCAGAGGUGCAUAAAAACAGGACGGUGUUACAAUCAACAAGUUUUCAAAAGUAAAAAAAAAAAAAUUGCCAAAAAUAAUAUUCUUUUUUCUUAAACAUUAAUUUAGCUUUAGUUUAAACAAAUAAAUAAAAAUACAACUCUAUCACUAACUCUAUCACUGUACAAGUCUUUUAAUACAUUUAAUGUUUAUGUAAAAAACUAAAAAUGUGGUUUUUUUUGUGUACUUAUUUCAAACGUAAGUUUUGGUCUAUUUUAAUAUAUAAAGAACUUAACUUCUUAUAAUUUCAUAUUUAGAUCUAAAUAAUGUAUGAUGUAAAUUUAAACGGACCAAAAAUAAAAAUAUUGAUAUAUCAAUUUUUAUUUUGAAUAAAGAUUGUAUACACGCUUUUCUAUAGUAACAUAUUUAUAUAAUAAAAAAAUAGAUUUUUUUAUUAGUAUCCUUAUAUUUUGUAAAUUAUAUAAAUACAUAUAAUUAUUAAAUACACAAGGCCAACUAGUAAAUCGAAAAUGAGAAAACAAAUAAGUCUAUAUAAAUCAUAUGUGAUUUGAUACAUAUAAUAACAUAUGAUUAAAUACACAAAAAAAAACUAUUAAAUCAAGAAAGCGAAAACAAAUCUUGUGUGUAUAAAUCGUAUGUGAUUAAAUACAUAUAAUCAUAUGUGAUUAAAUACACGAUACCAACUAUUGAAUAAAAAACACAAAAAUAAUUAUUGGCCGAAUAAAUAAUAUGUGAUUAAAUAAAUAUAAUCACAUGUGAUUAUAUGUAUCUAACAUGAUUUAUAUGAACAAGAUUCAUUUCGCAUUUCCGAUUCAAUAGUUUUUCUCUUUUAUUUAAUUACAUGUAAGUAUAUGUAUUUAAUCACAUAUGACUUAUGGGAAAAAUAUUUUAAAGAACAUGUGAGUAUAUCUAUUUAAUUACAUGUGAGUAUAUGUGAGUAUGGUUUUUGUCCACAUAAAUCACAUAUGAUUAAAUACUUAUAAUUAAAUGUGAUUAUAUACACGAAAACAACUAUUAAACUCGGAAAAAAACCAAUCUUGCCCAUAUAAGUCAUAUGUGAUUAGAUACAUAUAAAAUGUGAUUAUAUACACGAAAACAAAUAUUGAAUUAAGAACACAGAAACAAAAUGUUUCGACAUAAAUCGUAUGUGAUUAGAUACAUAUAAUUACAUGUGAUUACAUGUAUCUUAUCACAUAUGAUUUAUAUGGAACAAAUUUGUUCACAUUUUCAAUUCAAUAAAUUUUCUCAUGUAUUUAAUCACAUGUAAAUAUAUGUAUUCAAUCCCAUGUGGUUUAUAUUGAGAAGAUUCGUUUUCGCAUUCUCAAUUUAAUAAGUGUUCUUUUUCCACAUUAAUCAUAUGUGAUUAAAUACAUAUAAUCACAUGUGAUUAUAUAUAUGAGAGCAAUUGUUGAAUCAAACACUCGAAAAGAAAUCUUUUCACAUAUAUCAUAUGUGAUUAGAUAUAUAUAAUCACAUGUGAUUAAAUAUAAGAGAAUAACUAAUGAAUUGACAACGCGAAAAUGCAUAUUGUUCACAUAAAUCAUAUGUGAUUAAAACAUAGAAUCACAUGUGAUUAUCUAUGUCUAAUCACAUGUGAUUUACAUGGAUAAAAUACAUUUUUGUUAUUCUUGUGUAUUUAAUCAUAUGUGAUUAUAUGUAUCUAAUCACGUAUAAUUUAUUUAGACAAAAAUCAAUCUUAUCCAUAUAAAUCAUAUGUAUACAUAUAAUCACAUGUGGUUGUGGUGGGGGUCUUCGACAAAGUUCACGAAAAUAAAUACUUUCCACAUAAAUCAUAUGUGAUUAAAUACAUUAAUUACAUGUGAUUAUAUGUAUCUAAUCACAUAUAUUUAUACAGAUAAUAUUCAUUUUCACGUUCUUGAUUCAAUAGUUUUUUUAGUAACUUUAAUCACAUGCGAUUAAGUACACGAGAACAACUAUUGAAUCAAGAACACAAAAAUGAAUAUUGUCCACAUAGAUCAUAUGCGAUUAGAUACAUAUAAUAACAUGUGAUUAUGUGUAUCUAAUCACAUAUGAUUUAUAUGGCUAAGAUUCAUUUCCGUGUUCACGAUUCAAUAAUUUUUUUUUCACUUUAAUCAUAUGUUAUUAAAUACAUUUAAUCGGAUGUGAUUAUAUGUUUCUAAUCACAUAUGAUUUUAUUUGGAAAAAACGAAUAUUGUCUGUAAAAAUCAUAUGUGAUUAUAUACAUACGAUCACAUGUGAUUAUAUACACGAUAACAAAUAUUGAACAAAGAAUACGAAAACAAAUCUUUAUCCAUAUUAAUCAUAUGUGAUUAAAUAUAUCUAAUCAUGUGUGAUUAUAUGAAUCUAAUCACAUAUGAUUUAUGUGGACACAGUUCAUUUUUGCUUUGUCGAUUCAAUAGUUGUUCUCAUUUAUUUUAUCACAUGUGAUUAUAUGUAUAAUCGUAUGUGAUUAAGUACAUGAGCACAACUAUUAAACCGAGAAGACAAAAAAGAAUCUUGUGCACCUCAAAUCAUAUGUGAUUAUAUACAUAUAAUCACAUGUGAUUAUAUGUAUCUAAUCACAUAUGAUUAAUGUGGACAAGAUUCGUUAUCAUGUUGUCGAUUUCAAUUAUUGUUUUUCUCAACUUUAAUCAUAUGUGAUUAAAUAUAUCUAAUCACAUGUGAUUAUAUGUAUAUAAUCACAUAUGAUUUAUAUGGACAAAAAAGAAUAUUGUCCAUAUAAAUCAUAUGUGAUUCGAUACAUAUAAUCACAUUUGAUUGUAUACACGAGAACAAAUAUUGAAUCAUAUAUGAUUAAUUACAUAUAAUCAUAUAUUAAUAAAUACAUGAGAAAAUUUAUUAAAUAGAAAAUACGAAAAUGAAUCUUGUCCAUAUAAAUCAUUUGUGAUUAGGUACAUAUAAUCAUAUAUGAUUAAGUACACAAGCGCAUAUAUAUAAUUGAGCCUGUAAAUUUUGUCCACAUAAAUUAUAUGUGAUUAUAUACAUAUAAUCAUAUGUGAUUAUAUGUAUCUAAUUGUGUGGUUGGUAAGUGGUAGGUGGUGGUGUUGGUUAUGUGUAGGUGGUGGCAGUGGUGGUGGUGGCGUAUAGUGAUGUUUGGUGGUGGUAGUGGAUGGUGGUGGUUGGUGGUGACGAGUGGUGGUUUUUGUAAGUGGAGCUGAAGGUGGUGUUGGUGGGUGGUGAUGGUAGUGGCGAGUGGUGGUUGGUGGUAGUUGUGGUGGGUAGUGGUGGUGACGACUGGUAGUGGUGGGUGGUGGGUAGUGAUGGGUGGUGGUGGCGGUUGGUGGUGGUGGGUGAUGGGUGGUGGUGGUGAUGAUGGGUGGUAGGUAGUGGUUGUGGGUGGUUGUGAUGGGUGGUGGAGGUGGGGGAUGUUGGCGGGUGGUGGUGGUUGGGUGGUGAUGGCAGUGGGUGGUGAUGGUGGUGAUGAGUAGUGGUUGGUGGUGGCGAGUGGUGGUGGAUGGUGGGUGAUGAUGACUGGUGGGUGGUGGGUGGUGGUGUAUAGUGAUUGGUGGUGGUGGCGGGUGGUGGUGAUAGGCGGUAGGUAGUGGUGAUGGGUGGUGGUUGCGGUUGGUGGAGGCAGGUGGUGGUGAUAGUGGUGGCCGGUGGUGGUUGAUGGUGGUGGUGGGUGGUGGGUGGAGGGUGGUGGGUAGUGGUUGGUGGUUGGUAGUGGUGGGUGGUGAUGGGUGGUGGUGGUGGUGAUGGGUGGUUGGUAAUGGUUGUCGGUGGUGGUGGCGAGUGGUGGUUGGUGGUGAUGGUGGCGGGUGGUGGUGGGUGGAGGUUAGUGAUGGGUGGUAGGUAGUGGUGAUGGGUGGUGGUGGCGGGUGGUGGUGAUGGGUGGUGGUGGCGGGUGGUGGUGGCAGGUGGUGGUGGUGGUGGGUGGUGAUGGUGGUGCUGGUGGUGGUUGGUGGUGAUUAGUGGUUGUGGUGGUGGGUAGUAGUGGUGGUGGCGGUGGGUGGUGAGUGCUGGGUGGUGGUGAUGAGUGGUAGGUUGUGGUGGUGGGUGGUGUUGGUUGGGUGGUGAGUAGUGUUAGUUAGUGAGUUUUUAAUUGUUUGUAACUAAUUUUUGAUUUAUAUGGAUAGUAUUUUAUAAUUUUAAAUAAGAAAAUUGUGUGGUCCAAAUUUGUUCUCAAA